GAAAUGUAUUGAACCAUUCAAUGUGCAAUGUGACAAGUUUAUUUUGUAAUAGAAUAUAACACGGCGUAACAUUAUUUAUUAUAUUUACGUUAUUCAUUGAAAUGGAUUUUUUUGUCAAUUUGGAUACUCAGAUUGAGAAUGUUCAUACACGAUAGUACUGAAUUGUUAUUAACACUUGGUAGUUUGAAGAUGGUUCCUUUGUCUUCAGAUGCGUCCUCGUGCAGUGUCGAUCUGUAAUGUAAUGUAUUGUAUUCUAAUUCCUGAUCACUCUUUCAUUCAAGUUCUAAUUUCAAUUACUCCAUUCUCGACAAAACCUACUUGAUCAAAUCUUCAUCUGGUGUCGACUCUCUGAAAUCUUGUCUCAGAUCUAAUAAUUCUAAUAUUUCUCGUUAGUGUUUAAUUCCUUACUAAUUUUGAUGGUUAUUUUCGCUUUCCACAUGUACAGUGGAAUCAAUAUUUGAUAAACACAACAGCGGGUACCAUUACUCUUUUUAGCAUUGUAUGUCAAAAGUAA